UCGGCGCUUCGUGCCGUCGUAUAUUCAUCGAUAAUCGCGCGUGAAAUUAAUCGUACGGGAGUGCACAUUCGGCGUCGUUUCAACUUCGUCGAUGUUUAAGAGGGACGAGAAGAAGAACGAGACCCGUUGCGGCAAGGGUCUGGUGACGCCUGCCACAAUCGUGUCUCGAGAGGAAUGUGGUUCGCGUUUUACUACCUCGAGUGAAUGACAGCGUGGCGAUCUUAGAUCAUAAACAGCGUUGUGUACAAACGAGCGACGUGUGUAAGUGUCAAUCAGUUCGGUGCCGUUACGAGAAAUACUUAAGGUAAAAUAAACAUACAAAAUAAACGUACGCGCUGAAUAUUCGGUUUCUUG